GCCUCCUCCGCGGUGCGCUCCCCACCCCCGCUCCUGAAGCAAGAAGAUGCAGACGAUACUUUUCCCGGAGGCAAGAGGGCGUCUUCACGCAGGCACCGAGAAGCUCCCACUAGUGUAUGCCUUAAUGGUGCCACUCUUGUCUGCGUCUACGCUUGGGGCCUUGGCUUCUGACUUGGAGAGUGUACAGCUCUGCCCGACGGCAACCCAGCUUGGGAAGAGAAGCCCCAGCGUGGGCUGGGGCUCAAGGCGCAGGAAGGCCGAGCCCGGCGCGGACACAGGCGGCUCCGGGCGGGCUCAGCACCCCCAGGCACCGUCUCCUAGUGACCGCGGCGCUCGCGGGCCUGGCGGCCGUUGUCCGGGCGACUGCGCAGCGCGGGCACCCCCGCGGCCCCUCCCCUGGGCGCGCGCGCGACCUGGGUGCCAUGGCGGCGGCGGCGGUGACAGGCCAGCGGCCUGAGACCGCGGCGGCCGAGGAGGCCUCGAGGCCGCAGUGGGCGCCGCCAGACCACUGCCAGGCUCAGGCGGCGGCCGGGCUGGGCGACGGCGAGGACGCACCGGUGCGUCCGCUGUGCAAGCCCCGCGGCAUCUGCUCGCGCGCCUACUUCCUGGUGCUGAUGGUGUUCGUGCACCUGUACCUGGGUAACGUGCUGGCGCUGCUGCUCUUCGUGCACUACAGCAACGGCGACGAAAGCAGCGAUCCCGGGCCCCAACACCGUGCCCAGGGCCCCGGGCCCGAGCCCACCUUAGGUCCCCUCACCCGGCUGGAGGGCAUCAAGGUGGGGCACGAGCGUAAGGUCCAGCUGGUCACCGACAGGGAUCACUUCAUCCGAACCCUCAGCCUCAAGCCGCUGCUCUUCGAAAUCCCCGGCUUCCUGACUGAUGAAGAGUGUCGGCUCAUCAUCCAUCUGGCGCAGAUGAAGGGGUUACAGCGCAGCCAGAUCCUGCCUACUGAAGAGUAUGAAGAGGCAAUGAGCACUAUGCAGGUCAGCCAGCUGGACCUCUUCCGGCUGCUGGACCAGAACCGUGAUGGGCACCUGCAGCUCCGUGAGGUUCUGGCCCAGACUCGCCUGGGAAAUGGAUGGUGGAUGACUCCAGAGAGCAUUCAGGAGAUGUACGCCGCGAUCAAGGCUGACCCUGAUGGUGACGGAGUGCUGAGUCUGCAGGAGUUCUCCAACAUGGACCUUCGGGACUUCCACAAGUACAUGAGGAGCCACAAGGCAGAGUCCAGUGAGCUGGUGCGGAACAGCCACCAUACCUGGCUCUACCAGGGUGAGGGUGCCCACCACGUCAUGCGUGCCAUCCGCCAGAGGGUGCUGCGCCUCACUCGCCUGUCGCCUGAGAUCGUGGAGCUCAGCGAGCCGCUGCAGGUUGUUCGAUAUGGUGAGGGGGGCCACUACCAUGCCCACGUGGACAGUGGGCCUGUGUACCCAGAGACCAUCUGCUCCCAUACCAAGCUGGUAGCCAACGAGUCUGUACCCUUCGAGACCUCCUGCCGGCAAGUAUCUCCCAACUGGGGGCUGCCUUCAAACCUCAGACCAGGAACACCCAUGACACAGGCGCAGCCCUGCACUGUGGGCGUGCCCCUUGGCAUGGGGCCAGGAGAUCACUGGGUUAUCCCGGUUAGUGAUGCCCUCACCUCUCCCCACAAGUUGUUUACCCAAUGGCUGGAAAGGGGUGGCCACUGGCCAUCGUGACCACUGGAGUCAACACAGACUGAAGUACCCACAGACACCAAAACUUGCCCCCGGAGUUCUGAAGCAAGGGGCAAGGCUGGGCCCCUAGCUUGUCCUGCCCAUUCCUCCAGGUGUUGAUCUUGAUUCCACUUAGAGAAGCUGAAGCUGUGCCUCCCUCCCCUGUCAAGGCAGUUCUUUCCUCUUCAGGUGGCUGUUCUGGCCCAGCCCCUUCCCAUCCCCAAGGAGUCCUUCAGCGCGCCCUGUUGCUUCUGCUAGCCUACCUUUCCCUGCCAGGCCCUUGCUCGGGGCCAUGGCAUUUAACUGAGUGCACCUGUGAUCUUGGCCAAAAAACCAUUGCAACUCACAGUAAGCCCCUGGGAGCAUCCACAACUGGGGACCUGCUCAGUGGCCCCCCUGCCUUACAGCUACAUGACAGUGCUGUUUUAUUUGAACAACGUCACUGGUGGGGGCGAGACUGUUUUCCCUGUAGCAGAUAACAGAACCUACGAUGAAAUGAGUCUGAUUCAGGAUGACGUGGACCUCCGUGACACACGGAGGCACUGUGACAAGGGAAACCUGCGUGUCAAGCCCCGACAGGGCACAGCAGUCUUCUGGUACAACUACCUGCCUGAUGGGCAAGGUUGGGUGGGUGACGUAGACGACUACUCGCUGCACGGGGGCUGCCUGGUCACGCGCGGCACCAAGUGGAUUGCCAACAACUGGAUUAAUGUGGACCCCAGCCGAGCGCGGCAAGCGCUGUUCCAACAGGAGAUGGCCCGCCUUGCCAGAGAAGGGGGCACCGACUCACAGCCCGAGUGGGCUCUGGACCGGGCCUACCGCGAUGCGCGCGUGGAACUCUGAGGGAAGAGUUAGCCCCGGUUCCCAGCCGCGGGUCGCCAGUUGCCCAAGAUCGGGGGUCCGGCUGUCCUUCUGUCCUGUUGCAGACUAAAGGUCUGGCCAAUGUCUUGCCCCACCCCGCCAGCCGCGAUACGGCGCAGUUCCUAUAUUCAUGUUAUUUAUUGUGUACUGACCCCAUCUGCCCCGUCAAAUAAAAAAACCACAAGGUUCGA